AUGUUCAAUUCCAUAAAAAGUUUAAUCAUUUCAACUGUUAGAGAGAAAAAUGUGAGACUGAAUAUGGAAUGCAUCUUCGACAUGUUUUGUUCUCUCUUUCGGAAUCGUCUUCUCUCUUUUAUAUUUGCAAAAUCUUUCCUCUAUGUGCUUAAGUUUUGUUUGUUUUGUUUACAGAUUAAAAAAAUUCAUCCAUGA